ensembl:lncRNA novel transcript
AGCACAAAGUUACUCCAAAGGAGAGGGAUGAUAGAGUUAAUCGUCUAAACCAGGACACAUCUGAGCAUGAAAGGAGGCAGUCACUGCACAGGAUGCUAGAACAAACGGAAGUGAUUUGCAAUUCCUGGAUGACACCUGAAUUUUACCAAAAGGUUUCAAGGCAACCCUUUAGAAAGUGACCUUUUGCUUUCCCCAUUUCCUUUGCCCUAAGUGUUAAUUGACUUUGAAAAAGCAGUAUAUUAUCUUUUCAGAAAAAAGAAAAGGAUAGACCUUAUUUGUGAACACCAACAUCCUACAGCAUCAAAGCGUUGUUUAAAUCAUCGCACAGCAGAGCUGAGAACAACUAUCCAGGAGAGUGAGAUUUAAAAAAAAAGAAAAGAAAAGAA